CUUAAAGUACUGAGGGAAAUACAGCAACCUGUGCAAUUUGUCAGCCUCCGUGUGAACUAUUAUUCAAGGCAGUCCACAGGUGUGAUAUAAGAUCAUGCUACAGUCCUUCUGGUGGUGUCACAUCUUUUCCAUGCUUUUUGGCAGCUCUUGAAUGAAAAGCCAGUAAGAGUUGAAGAUCAGUGCAGAACAGGAAACCAGGGUAGUGCUGUCCAGUCUGACUCCAGAGUCUAAGAGGUACACAAGUCUGAGAGGCCCAAACAUCUCAUCAGUAACUGGCCAAGGUGUUCUGGAGUGAAGAGAUGGAGCCAGGGGACCUUGAUGGGCAAGUUACUGCCGAACACAACCUCCUUGGAGAGUUGCCAGACCUGCCAAGGUUCUGUGCAUCCUGUCCCCAAGGCCCACGGCGCAGCUGUCCAGAGCACACUGGCCAGGGCACGCGCCCACCUGUGCCAAGGAAUCCCCAGGUGGAGAGAAUUCCUCCCAGGGAAGCCCUGCGGCUGGAGUGCACCUCAGCAUGACCUGCUGCCUUCAGGAGCCGUGCAGAUCCCGGGAAGGAGCAGGGGGCGCCCAGCACCUCGGGCUUCCUCCCUGCAGCCCACCUUCCCGACAGGCAGUAGAGCGAUGGAAGAGCUUUCUAUGAACAACAAACCUGCAUGGUGCCCAAAUGCUCAGGACAGAUUUUAAAGUCUCUUCCAGUUCUAAAAGUCUAAAAUAAAUGUUCACAACAAAAGUCUCUUUGUGAAUAGUGGUUGGAAAUGGGGCAUAGUAACAGGUUACUUGAUUCUACUUGAAGUAAAUUAAAUGUGUGCAACACUGGAAACACCCAGGACUUAUGCACUGCAUUUCUCCUCCAUUUUUUGCCCUGCUAUUCCAUAAUCUAAUUGUGUUUCCCUCCACUCAACCACGAAAGUUCUAUUUCCGCCUCACGGCCUCACCUGAGUCUCGCAUUCUGCUUGAAGCCUCACUAGUGCAAGCUCACUGAGUCGCCUUUUCACUGGUACACCAUUCUCCUGCCGUUCAGUUCUGGGUUUAAUUAUGCUCUGCCUCCCUCCCAGUGUUAGUCCUACCCUCCCAUCCUUGCGAAGACAAACAGCCCAAGGUCCCUCGCUCUGCACUUCUUCCACCUCUCACCCACUCUGAGCGCUUAGGCAGCUUCUCAAUAUCUUCUGCAUCUCAGUUCCCCUCUAACAGUGUCAACAGCACAAGCUUACCUCUUGUUGGGACAUCACCCAUAAUAAACACUUGCUGAUGGAUCAAAGCUUUCAUAAUGCUUUGGAUAGUGUUUUUAAGUACUUCAAGAUUAUUCCUACAAAAUGAGUGCCCAGUGAACACAUUUUCAGAACUAACUGCAGGACAGUCAGGUGACUUGUGCUGACCUUUACAUGUUGAUGCUUUUAAAAAAUCCUUUUUAAUAGCUACCCUUGCUUUUUCUCUGCCUCUCUCAAAUAAAAGAAGACCAAGGAGAAAUAUAUCUGGGCUUUCCUGCUUGUUUCUUUCAGAAUAAAUCUACCACACCCCCACUUUUAAUGGCUUGCAUCUGCUGAAAAUCUUUAAGUGACAAGGCAGCCAGAUGAUGAUCCCUUUGCACAAUCACAGUUCUCCCGAGCCUCACAGAAACCCCAGGAAAGGGAGGCUACUGCUCUCUGUGAUGAGCACCUGUGGAUUAGCAGCGCUGCCGGAGCAGUCUCACAAGGGGCCGAGAAGGUGAACUUUCAUCCAGGUCCACGAGUCUCAAAGGUCCUACCCUGGACCACAAGCAGCAAAGGGCCAAGGUUCCAAAGGCCAGAAUGGCCCAGUUCCUAAAGUUAGACCUAACUCCACGACAAACACAAAACAGUCACACUCCUAAAGAUACUUGAGCAUCGAAAGAAACUGGAGACCGAGU